UACGAACCGAGCGAACGUUGUUCGGAAUCACUGGGCUUAAAGGGCGCGUAGGCGGGCGCUCAAGUCCUGGGUGAAAUCCUCCAGCUCAACUGGAGAACUGCCUCGGAUACUGGGUGUCUCGAGUGUGGUAGGGGUAUGCGGAACUAUCGGUGGAGCGGUGAAAUGCGUUGAUAUCGAUAGGAACUCCGGUGGCGAAGGCGGCAUACUGGACCACUACUGACGCUGAUGCGCGAAAGCCAGGGGAGCAAACGGG
rnacentral:rRNA from 1 species